rnacentral:lncRNA from 1 species
CAUUAUCAGAAUGACUUAUCUGGGUAAAAUCAUCAGACUGGAUAUGCAAACAGGCAAAAAAAAGGGUUCAAACCCACUGGCUCAAACAUUGAAAAGUACCAAUUAUGUAUUUCUUUGGGUGAUAACACCUGUUUUCAAAGAACCAAGAAGGCUAAGACUUUUUAGCAAAUAUAGUGGAAACUAUUUCCCAGUAUGCUUUACAGACAACACAUUUUAGAUAGGAAAUUUAUUCAGGCCAGGACAUACUACAUUGUCCGAGGACCAUACAUGCUUUAUUUUCUCACUAAGUUGUGAUAAUCCAGCUAAAGAAGUUUCAUUAAACUGCUUAAAUCUAAAUGAAAUGCUUCGGUGCAGAAAGUAUUUUCUAACUGUAUGAUUCUGUCAAAUCAGCCUUGCUCUCACAUCUAACACAGAUUUUAAGGUAGUGACUCAGCCACAGGAACCUUUAUUUUUUUAUGGCAUGGUAUCCUUGCUAAAUAAUACUUUAUCCCUCAGAGGCACAAGAAGCAGAUGAAUCAAUCCAAACAGACAACUUGUAAUGUGUAGGUUUUUGUGGUGCUGGGGACUGAACCCAUGGCCUUGUGCACACUAGACAAGCACUCAACCCCUGAGCUACAUCCCCAGCCUUUCUUAAGUAUCUUCAAUAGGCCCCCUAUAAGAUCAUUUUGUUAUUAUAAAAAAAAGGAAGUUAUAAAGACUUAAGCAUCAACUAAAUAACUGAUUCAAAAGAGGAUCACAUUUACAUUGUAUUACUUUGGGUACUUGUAUCUUUGGUUGAUCUAAGAUUAAAUGGGAGACAGAAUAAAUAAAAUAUUGAAAACUUUUGUUUUGCUUAAUGAAAUAAAAAGAAAUACAAUUCAGGUUGUCACUUAUAAUUUUAGAGUUUCACAUAUAGCAAUGCUGUGUUACUAAGCACUGAACACUUUCAUAAAAAAUUUAUUUCACACUUUUAUACAAAUAUCCACAGGUAUUUUCUAAUCAUGAAAUAAUUUUACAAUGCUAGUUAGUAUAAAAACGUAUCAAAUGCAAACAGACCAGUGACUUGACUUGAGAUGACAUUUUUAACAACUAUAAAUUGAAAUACCAUAACAUUCUUGUUUCUUUGUUAUUAAACUACCCCUCUUUUCAGGACAUUCAUUUUUAUAACAAAGGCCUACAAACACUGUCAAAAUAUCAGUUUCUUAGUGUCCUAUAACAAAGCCAGUGAGUUAGGCUCCAAUUUACCCAAGAAACUGAGACUUUAAACACUGUUAUGACCUGAUUUAGAGAAAUUUUUGUAAACAAAAUGCCAUUUGCAAAAUUUUUUGUGAAUAAAAUUUCCAAAAUACAACCAGAAUAAAGUUCUUAGUAUCCUAAGGAUGUAAGAUUUGUGAAAAAGAAAAAGAAAAACAAAUAAACAAACAAAAAAACCACCAAGGCAAUAAUGGCACAUACAGCUCUCUUGUUCUUUUAAAAGAUUGAGGGCUGGGGAUUUAGCUCAGUGGCUCUGCACCUGCCUCAUAAGUGCAAAGUCCUGAGUUCAAUCCCUGGUACCAAAAAAAACACAAAGAUUGAUACACUGCUUAUACUACAUCCAAAUUAGCACCUGUUUGCUGUUGCUCCCCAUAUAACUUAAUUUAUCAAAGCACAGUAAGUUGUAAAAUUCAGCUUUGAUAUUUAUUCAAUCUCUAUUGAAUAUAUAGUGACAAUUGUCUUUCUCCUCUCAUCCACACAGCUGGACAAUUAAACAAUUCAAAGAUCUUGUGAAAGUAGUCCCCAAAGUCAUUUGGGGAAUUUAGAUAGGGGAAGAAACAAAAUAAAAAACAUUGACUCACUGAUUGAAUGGCUCCAAUAACACCUAAAAGUUAAGAGCUAUGACGUUCUGCCUGACUAGAAUCAAGGUUUUGGUAGCAGAUACUCAUUCAGUAGUCUCACACUGGAUGGGUCUGGACCCACCCUGGGUGCUCACUAGUUUCUUUGAAGCCCUGAAUAUACAGUAUUUGCACCAGUGAGUAAACAUGUCCUAGAGUUCAAGAAACAAAGUCAUUUUCUUUAAAAGUUCCUGAAAGUCACAGCAUGAAAUUCAAACAUAUCACACAGGUCUCUGAACUAAAAAGUUAUCAGAUGUCUGAUGAGAAAGAAACAUAGUUAAAUCCUCUUUCUUAAACCUUUUGGGUUGGGGGGAGGGGACGCCAAGGAGAUGUUAUAAUUUAUAGAUAAGUUAUUAAAACAACUCUUGGAUACAUUUACAAAGAAUUAUUAUUAUCUUCUGGCAGUAAAUAAUUUAGGUCAAACUAAUGACCUGCCAUGUUCUAAGUCUGAUUGCAUAAACCAUAGUGAAGGAUCUUUGGCCUGUUAGUCAAUAACAAAAUGGUUUGAAGAAAAAAUAAAUAUCAUAUACAAACAAAUAUAACUAGCAUUCAAGUCUGCUGCACCUGUGUGUUUCAGUGAAAAGGAGAAGGAAACCUGCAGGCAUCUGGUAUGUGCAAGGAUUCACACAUCUAUGAAAAGGAGAAAGAGGGCAGGAUGGCAAUGUCACCUAUUGCACAUUUAAUAAGACAGCACUUUAAGCUGAGACAGGACUACGCCAACAGCAGAGCCCCGUGCUGCAGGACAGCUAACCUGCAGGUUCUCCAGCCCUACGGGAAUGAUGCUUACAGCAGCAGACUGGGCCGGCCCUUCCCCAGCGCGUGUAAGUCAGCCACACCAAAAUCAAAGGCAACCCAGAAAGUUAAAUUAAGGCAGUUACAGAAAAAUCCACUCUAACAGUCUUAAAACUUGGCUGUGUAAGCCAGGAGCCGCCUUCAGCUGCGUAACAAUAUCCACAGUUUCAACUGUAGCCUCGCACCGUGUGUCGCGUUGGUCUGAAAUCAAUCUUCAGAUUUUGAACAGGCUUUUUAAAUCCAUAUGAAUGUCUGAGUUAAAAGAAAAAGCAUUUUGGGUACUGUGAAGCUUGUCUGACCCCCUAGGAGUAACUUUCAUUUUCGCUCCACUUUGUGAUCCACUGUUUUUUUUCCAAGUUAUCAUUAUAUUUUUCAUCUUUGAUCUCUUUCUUCUUUCCGGAUCCUUACAGCAUAGUAUCGGGAACGCUUAUCAUCGUACCUCCAGAGCGCUUAAAGAAUCCACACUAGAGAAGGGGGGAGAGAGAAACAGACACAAAUUAAUUCAUCUCAAAGAAACCAAGUGCAGUAAACAGAAAUGUCUAAGCUUUCUGUUCAGCCAUGUCUACCUUUGGACCAAGGGAAAAGAGAUACCAUUUUAAGAAAGCACUAACAGGUUGAAAAGAACAGCCAGGAGGAAUGUUAGAGAACAGCUGUAAAAGUGAAAGAGAAGUCCAUUUUUACUUUGUC